ACCAUCGUCUCGAUAAAGGCCGACGCGGUCUUUGCCAUAUUUCUUUGCCAAGGAAAAGAAAUAUGGCAAAGACCGCGUCGGCCUUUAUCGAGACGAUGGU